GGCACUUUCUGGGUCUAGAAUUCUGGGGAGGUGACAAGGUCGCCGUCUGCAGUCUUCCUGGAAGGAAAGGGUUAAACACGGCGAAGCCUGGGAGCCUGCGGGAGUGGUGUGCUCACCAGUGCACCUGCCUGUGGGGCUGUCCCUCCAUCUCUGCCCGCACCACCCCCCACACCGCGGAGGGGGGAUGCUGGGCUUUCCGGUCUUGCUUAGUGUGCUUGACCAAAGGUGACUUCAUGGUCUAAGGUCGUGCCCUCCCCCCUUCUGAAUCGAUAAUUUAAUGUGACUUAUCAGAAAGGGAAAGAACUGUUUACUUUAAAAGCCUGGAUCCCAUAAAGGGAGAGGGACAAGGCCUAAAACCCACAGAAGCCCUGGGCUCGCGCCCACGGCCGCCCCCACGCAGAACAGGGAGCCUGGACCAGAGAAGGGGCCCUGGGCUGAGGACUCGAGCAACUGAAAGAUUAUUGAGAGCCAGAGCACACAGAGCUGACCGGGGGAAGUGGAGGGGCCGGAUGCUGCUAUGGGACACUGGAAAAGCCAGGCCUGUGAUUUCCAAUUUAGGCUGAAAUGAACAUCCUGGUAAUCCCAGCCCUCACGCUCUAUGUAUCAUACUGCCCCCAAGUGGUAGGCUAUGUCCCUGCAUGUCAUAACCUCAGUGGUUCCAAAGGAUUUCACCUUUGCUGCCUCCGUGUUCCAAACUGAUGGCAUUGAGAACUUCCCCGGCAGCAGAAUCAGCUUUUUGGAUAAGUUGUUGAAAAAAAUCAAAAGAUGAAUACUGCUUCACGCCGUGGGAAAUACCUAUGGAAUUCACAUCUCAGUGUCCACACAUGAAGUUUAAUUGCAAUUUACCAAUGGGCCUCAUUCGCCCAGACUAACCCAGGUUAGCAUGGAACAUCUUAGAUCCUGGAAGCCCCCCUCAGUCCUGGGCGAAUUGGGAAGGCUGGCCACCUGGGACGCAGCCAGGCUCAUUUCUUUACACGUUGUCUGCGGCUGCCUUCACGCUCCGAUGGCAGAGUGCUUAUGACAGCGGCCAUAUGGCUCGCAAAACCCAAACUAUGUACUGCCUCACAUAUUUAUAGGAAAAGUUUGCUGACCCCUGAUUAAGACCAAGGGAGAGUAGAUAAUUAAUCUGAUAAGGCAAAAAGAUAUAACUGAUCGCUACUAUCAUGAGAGUCUUGGGAAAGCCUAUUUAUUUUCUUCACUGGAAGCUGAUUUAUGUUUAGAACUUAAAUUAGAUCAUGUCACCCACUGAGCCUAAAAUUCAAGGAUUUCCUACAUCCCCCUGGGACAAACCUCAUAUUUUUCCUGUUCUUCCCCUUGCUCACUCCACACCACACCCACUCUCUCACUCCUCCUCAAGCAUGUCAAGUGCAACCUGCCUCAGGACCUUUGCACCUACUGUUCCAUCUAUCCAGACCCUUCUCCCCAGAUAUAUGCACACCUUGCUCCUUCACCUCAUUCUUGUUUCUUUGAAGUUGUCUUUUAACUGAAGCCUUCCCCUCAUUGCAGCACUCUUUGCCUCCUGACAUCACUUAUUCAUUUGUUUAUUUUCUGUGUCCACACUACAAGACCAGACAUGCAAGAACAGGGGCCUUGCUAUGUCCCCAGCUCACAAAACAGUCCUGAUCACAUGGUGGGCUUGCAAUAAAUACUUGUUGGGUAAGUAAAUGGUUGGUAAAGUCAAGAAUUUUAUGUGUGUCUCUGGGGUAAGUCUCCACUCACUGGGCCCUAUUACUGCUCAUCAAUAUUUCAUUUUAUCCAAUAUCUGUCCUGUGACAAUUAUGUAGCCGACAGUCUCUGUCAUCCGCUGGCCCCUUUUCCUGCCAAACACCUUGUCUUUAAUCAUCUGACCGCCUGCAAGAAAAAAGUGCUGUGGAUAUUUGUGCCAGAUGUGAGCCUGAAAUGCUGCCACGUCUCUUGUCCUAAAGAUGGAUGCAUUACUCGCACGCCCAGGGGUGGAAUCGGGGCAAUUCUUCCACCCCCUAAAACCAACCAUGACAUUUCAUACUUAGAUGCGUUUUUCUAGGGGGAGGGUCCAGAGCUGUCAUCCAAUACUCAAGAAGGCUGAGCAGCUCUGUUGUUAAGCAACAGUCCAAUUGCCUAAACACGUGCCAAACUCUCUGGUGAGAUGACAGGCCCUCCCGCGGGGUGCCCUCUGCUCUCCAGUAUGUUUUCAUAGGGACUCGAGUUCCUGGGAUUCAGCUGGUACCACUGGGAUGCUCUCUGGGCCUCUCUGGAAGGUUCCUUCCCUCUGCCACGUUCUGAGAUUGUAAACACACCACCAGUCUCUUCGUGGGCUCCCCAGUGGCUGCCUCGAAGGGGCUUUUUUCUUGCAGGCGGUGAAAAGAGCUGGGCUGAGCCUCCCGCAAGGCAAGUGACACUGGGGCCAGAGAAACGCUCUGGGAAGAGCCCCCGGCCAGUGGUGGCAGAAGGGCUGGAAAUGCACUUCUCUGCGAAGGAAAGGGCCCAAGAGGAAGAGGCCGGAGGCGAAAGAAAACAUGCCCCCUGAGCAUCACCAGCUGGGAGCUUGUUAGGCCUGCAAAUCCUCUGCCCACUCCAGACCCAUUAAAGCUGCGACUGGGGGUGGGGACACCCUGUGCUUUAACAAGCCCUCAGGGUGCUGCUGAUGAGCCAUUGGGCUACAGGCCUGGCCCACUGUGCUGCUCAUUAGUGUUUGAUGAGAGAGCCACUGAGAGAAUCGAUCAACCAGAGACUCACAGCCUCAGCUGCACAUUAGCACCAUCUGAGAGCUUUAAAAACCCCUCCACCCAGGCCGUGCCCCAGGCCAAUUACAUAGACUCUCAGAGGGGGACCUGGGCAUUGACUUUUUAAAAGCACAGUAGGCCACUCUCAUGUGCAGCCAAAACUGAGCACCAGGCAGUAAACGAAGGCACUAGCAUCUGCAAGAUGCUCGAUUAUGAACGCCUUUGAGAGCGUUGCUUUUAAGGAACAACUUACAUAAAAUAAUAUAUCAAGUUACAGGUGUUUGAGAUAAAAUAAAGUUUUAUUUUUCUCUCCUUUAAUAAAAUUUAAAAAAAUUGGGUGGUAAAGAGCCAAGGACUGGGUUGUCAGCAAUUUAGGGUAGUUGACCUCUCGCGCCAUCCCCUUUAAAGAACACAGCGUAAGCUCCACCUGGAGGUUCAGCUUCGAUCUCAUUGGUCAGCACUGCCACAUAGGACUACCCUGGGC